rnacentral:rRNA from 1 species
AUUGAACGCUGGCGGCAUGCCUUACACAUGCAAGUCGAACGGCAGCACGGGAGCAAUCCUGGUGGCGAGUGGCGAACGGGUGAGUAAUAUAUCGGAACGUGCCCGGUCGUGGGGAUAACGUAGCGAAAGCUACGCUAAUACCGCAUACGAUCUACGGAUGAAAGCGGGGGGAUCGCAAGACCUCGCGCGAUUGGAGCGGCCGAUAUCAGAUUAGGUAGUUGGUGAGGUAAAGGCUCACCAAGCCGACGAUCUGUAGCUGGUCUGAGAGGACGACCAGCCACACUGGGACUGAGACACGGCCAGACUCCUACGGGAGCAGCAGGUGGGGAAUUUUGGACAAUGGGCGCAAGCCUGAUCCAGCAAUGCCGCGUGCAGGAU